UACGUAGGGUGCGAGCGUUGUCCGGAAUUACUGGGCGUAAAGAGCUCGUAGGUGGUUUGUCGCGUUUGUCCGUGAAAACUCACAGCUUAACUGUGGGCGUGCGGGCGAUACGGGCAGACUGGAGUACUGCAGGGGGAGACUGGAAUUCCUGGUGUAGCGGUGGAAUGACGCAGAUAUCAGGAGGAACACCGGUGGCGAAGGCGGGGUCUCUGGGCAGUAACUGACGUGGAGGAGCGAAAGCCGUGGGGAGCGAACAGG
rnacentral:rRNA from 1 species